GACGAACGCUGGCGGCGUGCCUAAUACAUGCAAGUAGAACGCAGUUGCGAACGGGUGAGUAACGCGUAGGUAACUGCCCCAUAGCGGGGGAUAACUAUUGGAAACGAUAGCUAAUACCGUCUACUGUGAGAUGGACCUGCGUUGUAUUAGCUAGUUGGUGAGGUAAAGGGUCACCAAGGCGACGAUACAUAGCCGACCUGAGAGGGUGAGCGGCCACACUGGGACUGAGACGCGGCCCAGAAGCCUACGGGAGGGCACAGUAGGGAAGCUUCGGAAAUGGAAGGAAGUCUGUCCGAGCAAAGCCGAGUGAGUGAAGAAGGUUUUCGGAUCGUAAAGCUAUGUUGUUAGAGAAGCGGUAUCUAACCAGAAAGGGACGGCUAACUACGUGCCAGCAGCCGCGGUAAUUC
rnacentral:rRNA from 1 species